CCCACUUCCACUUCCCCAUACCCUUUGAUCAUGAUUUUCGGAGCGGAACUUCCAAACACUUGUUUUACGAAUGAUUCUUGCUGCGAAAUCAACUUGUUCCUUUCCGUGCCAUAUUCGGGAUUGCAGGUGUAAUCGCUAGUUCUUCUGUUGCUACAUUUAUUGCUUCAGAGACAUGGGAUUCAUCUGUAACAAUUGAUUUUCCAUUGAACUCCAAGCGAAGCUCUGUUUUUGGGGCAGAGUGUUGCUGAAGCCUCAUGAUCAAUGGUACUCUGGUGCAAAUACCCUGUCCUCUAGGGAGGCUGAUUCCGGCAAGGGAUUCCAGUACGCUGGACUUGCCGGAAGAUUGGUCACCAACAACAACAAUGGUGGGGAGCUGGAUCCCUUCUUUCAUUAUGUUGAGAUGACGUAGUUUGUCAACAACAUCAAUCAGCGGCCGAAUUCGGUCGUUGAAGCACGAAACAAUAGGUGCAACGAAAUUGGAAGGUUCCUUUGAAUUUUCUACGGGAACAGGAGCAGUAAUAGGAGAAUCCAUAAUGGUUUCUCGUUCGUCGGAAGAUCCAGCGAUUUUCUUGUUCUUCAUCUUAGAGGAAGACUUACUUGGAUUCAUUUUGGAAUAACAAUUCGAAAACAGGAACUAAAAAUGGGAGGGGAGAUUGAGAAUGGAGGUGAUGAGUGUGAAGAGAAGGGAAGUUAAAUGGUUUGUAUUUAUAGGAAAGCAAGGUGGAUGAAAAUGGAGGAAUAUGAAUGGAGAAAAGGAAAAGAUCGUUUGGGAACCAGCGGCUGAGUAUGGGGAAGUGGAAGAGUUUUGGAAGAAGAAGAAGGUCUUUUUAACUUUGGAGUUAUAAAAAGCUUGAUGAGAAGUUAGAUAUCUUUUUUUCCUGAAAUAGUCAUUUGAGAAUGCAAUUGAUUGCAUUUGCAUGGGUAAUUAAGUGCUUUGGAAGGUGGUUUUGUCUUCAA